rnacentral:lncRNA from 1 species
AACCAACAGUAAAAUAUAAGUAUGGAGAGGAUUAACCGAGAGAGAAUAAUUUGCUGCGUUCUUGCCCUGCAUCCAGCUCACACACGCUGCCAAGCAGCAUCCUCAUCUUUCUGCGCACCUCUGACACAUGCUGCCCAAGGCAGCGCCCAUCCCUUGCGUCAGUCCUCUAGUCUCACGGUUUUGCUCCAGCUGCAAGGGCAGCGUGCUGACUUUGGUUCCUGAUUUUCCCGUGCUCACCUCAAGACCGCCCUUUCCGUCCUUUCUCCCGCUCCACGUGCUCAGUGCUUUCCCUUCUUUGCGCCUGUCCUUUCACUGCUCCAAACUGCCAAAGGCAGCAACCCGUGGUCCUGCACGUACUGACUUCUCUUCCCCCCAGCUGCCAAAUGGCAGCUCUCUCCCCGUGCUCUCUUUGGCUCUCCCCCGCAGCUUCUUGCUGCUCUCUUUGACCUCGCUGCCAAAGGCAGCUGUCUGCCUCUCCCCACCCCCUUCUCUAUUCUUUGCGCCACCUGGACUCUUAUUCUAUUCUUUUUCCUGUCUUGCUUCACACUCCCCGCAUCUACUCCUCUUUUGCCUUGGAUUCUUUCCUUUCUUUGUCCAACUCUUUCUUUCCACCGUUUUUCUUUCUUUUUUUUCUACAAAACAAAACCAUCAUGAUGAUGUUUCAAACAUCAUCACGACUUUAUCAUUAUUAAAUAUAAUUUUUAAUUUAAUUUUAAAAGCUGAUCUACACAGACAGUUUUGACGAAUUUAUUACAUAAAAUUUCAUUUGUUCUAUUUUUAUUUUCUUUGCAUAACAAAUCCUAUAAACACAAAAAUAACGUAAAUAGCUCAAAAAUAUAAGGAACUAACUAAGAAAAGACGAGUGAAUUUGAAGUAAAAAUAUAUAUAAAUAUGAUCCGAUCAAAUACCCCCACACUUAACUUUUGCUAGUCCUCGAGCAAAACAAAGAAAACUAGAACAAGAAGUAACAAGAAAAACAUUAGCUUCCCUCUAUGUGACCCUCAUAGAAUUUCAUUCGAGAAAACAAAUCAUCAAGAACCAUAGCUAGCAUCAAGGAAAUAAUCCAAGUUCAUCUUCCUUAUUCAAAUAUUAGCAGUAAUCUUUAAAUCAUCCUUGAAGUGUAGUGUGUGAGAUAGCCAUGCUAAUGCAAUUUCAAGUUUUUAUUUUUAAAAUCAUCAUAUGCAAACUAGUAACCUUCUCACGGGAUAUACACUCAAUCACAUAUGUGUUUAGUUUUAGUGUGUUUCGCUCAAAGAAACAAAUGUAAAAUUUCUACCAUAAGCUUGCAUAAAGAUCACUUCUCCACAGUCAUAAUUGCAAAACUUAAAUCAAGAGGACUUUUAUUGGAUGUAAUGAGGCUUAGGGAUAGGGUUAUUGAAACGAAAGAAUAGGAAAACACAAGUUCCAAGCUACAUUGCAAGCAAUUAUUUUGUCUAGAUUUAUAAGAACUCAAGCUCUCCAACGAUUCUUCAGAAACCUCCAAUCACACCCUUAAACUGAAACUUGAAAAACAAAAAUUUUUUUUUUUUUUUUCUUUUUUCUUCGUAUACAAUCUUUCUUUUUCUUUUUCUUUUCUCUUUUUUCCCUUUUUUUUUUUUUUUUUUUUUUUUUUUUUUUUAUACAAACAUGAAAUACCCCCACACUUAUUUUUUUUUUUUGCCAAACACCUUCAAAGUACUUCACAAACGUUUCUCAUAAGACAAUUUCGCAUUGCUCGCUUGGAAAGGGUAAGGAAAAAUGUUUCAGGUAUAAGGGUAGACAUAUCUGGUGAUAAGAAAUAAAAGGCUCAACAUACACGGCUCAAAUUGGCAAUCUAAUGAUAUCAUUUUUCUUUGGGAAACAUGGUUAUUUGGGCCAUGGUGGUAAACCUAAUGCCUCUAUCAUUUCCAAGUUCAUGCAAUCAAUGACAAACAUUUCGAAAGAUCGUUACGCAAGUUCUAGAGAUGUAUCUCACAUAAGUUCAUCACACAUGAAAGAAUAGGAGUGUAUGAAAAAUGCACACACUUUCAAUCGGCUCAAAAACUCACAUAGGAUGUGUAUAUGGUCACUAAAUUCACAUAUGAAGCUUUAAGUCAUACUUUAGUUUCACAUCAACAAGGCUAUGUGCAUUUGGUUUUUCAAAGAUGAUCAAACAUGUACAAAACUAACAAGAGAAUUAGGAAUUUCACCAAACACAUGUUAACUAAGUUCUUGAUGAUCAUGGUUCAAAUUUUUGAUCCAAUUAUAUCAUUGGGUCGGGAAACUAACAAAAAUCUGAUUCAGAACAAUAAGGGAAACAAGACAAUUAUUUUUGGAUUUUUAAAUUUUCCGAUUUUUUUUUUUUUUUUUUUAAUUUUUUUUUUUUUUUUUUUUUUUUUUUUUAAAGAAAACAAAACUAAUUAAGAACACAAAAAACAACAACACAGUUUUUUUUUUAUUUUUAUUUUUAAAAGAAAACAAAACUAAUUAAGAACACAAAAAACAACAACACAGAAACAAAUGAAAUUCUGGAGAUUUCUACCCCCACACUUAAACUGGACAUUGUCCCCAAUGUCAGAAAACACUAUAAUGCAAAAAUAAAUAAAAUAAACAAAAUAAUAAAAAAAAAACAAAAUAAAGCAAUUGGACUGAAAACUUCCCUAAUUUGCAGUAAAAUCAAGCGAUGACCCCCAAGCUAAAAUUCUGCAAUCAACUUCAAGGGUGGAAAUAACCAAAAGUUCCUGCAAAGAAAAGAAAUAAUUCAGUUAAGUACGCAAGAAAAUUAAUUAAAAAAAAAAAAAAUUGCAAACGAAAAAUUGAAAAUUACGAUAAAAGAUAAUGAAUAAAACUAAUAAGUAAUCAUUGGUCGUGCUUGUUGACUUUCCACAGCUUUCCUCUUGAACAGGGUGACACUUAGCUUUUCACUUGCAAGUGAUGAUUUUAUGAUAUUGUACGGCGAAGCUUUGCUCUUUGGUUAUGUUGCAGUUCCUUAUUUGUUCUCCAAGCAGAUGUGGCAGCUUCUCUAGUUCCUCAGUUCGGACUCCUUCCGCUGGGAUGAUUGUGCAAGCUGCAUUCUUCUCUGCUUGUUUCUUCUGCAACAACGGGCAGGCACGAGGGAAAGGUGUUGGUCCUUAUUUCUUUCUUCAAUCUUUCCAAGUGCCCACCUCUUGCUUUCUUUCUCCUUGUCCCUAGCUGAAUUGUCUCCACAUGCUUCGAGGUAUCAUUUUCACUUCCCUUACUGUCCCCCAGGCAGAUGUGGUAGACGAAGAGAAAGCAUAAAAUGAUGAAGAUGAGUACUCGAGAGCAAGGCUAGGUAAGCAAUCAGGAAGGGGUUCCAGGCAGUUGGCUCCAGAUCGGAAGAUUGAUACCAAAUGCUGGCUGAUUGCUCUCUUUCUCCUUGUCGGAAAACAAAGACAAGGAGAAGGACAUGGAGAAAGCAUGAUAUGAGAUACUCUUGCUUUCAACCUUUAUGAUAUGAAAUACUUUUGCUUUGAAUGGGUUGUUCGCAGGAGUAUCCCAAGGAAUGAGGAACACAGAGUGACUCGAGAGGAUUCUUUGGGAAUGCAUUUUCGGAGAUGAAGAGGUGUUGAGAGGGUGUGCUGAGAGAGUGUGCUUUUGCUGUGGAAGGCGAAGGUAGAAACUUAUAGGACUUGUCUUCACAACCGGAACUGUUCUCUCACUUAGUGUCGGCAGCCGGUGGAUGGGUGAAGAAUACAAAUUACGCGCUUUCUGACAAAGCUGCCCGUAAUUUCCGCAAAGCUGAUUCCUCAUUGAUAUCUGUAAUCGGCGCUUCGAGCUCUGAGCAUCGUCGAUUGUAGAGGUAGCAUGUGACACGUGCGGAUAAAUCUGGAAAAGAAGAUUUUCCCGUGGGUUGAAGCCCAGCUUUUGAGAAAGCUAGCGUGUCUUUGACUGUUGAAUUUCCCUCUUCGAUUUCUGAAUUGGUGCUUUGACAAAUUGCCCGAGAUUUCCGCAAAGCAAUUUGCGUGUGACAAGUGACGACACGUCUGGACAAAUUGAUCUUUUUUGAAAUCCGGGGUUCGGCUCGUGGUUUCUGAGCAAGCCCAGCCUUUAAGAAAUGAAACGCCUCUUUUGAGAAAAGAAUCCGGCUUUUGAGAAAGGAAAACUCCUCUUUUGAGAAAAGAAUCAGACGUUUGAGAACGGAGCCCCGACUCUUCGAUUUGCGAGAGGACGCUUCUCUGAGGAGCGCCUCUUUGAUUUCUUCCUUUUUAUAGAGACGUUAAGCUUGUUCCACAACACACUUGAGCUCCCUCCUGUAAACACUCCCUUCUUGCACUUGUUUAAUCUUGAUCAGUCCAACUCUCUUCAUUCUUUACCACCUCUGAAAAAUGUCUGGCCCUUCUGAUCUCAUCGUCGUUUUGACUUGAACAUUGGUGAAGAGGCAGCUCCGCCUUCACCAGACAACAUAUGGCGGCCAUCCUUCAUAUCCCCUACCGGUCCCCUUACCGUGGGGGAUUCGAUGAUGAAAAAAAUGACAUGACCGCUGCGGUGGUGGCCCGAAACCUUGUCACUCCCAGAGAUAAACAGACUGCUCGCAAGGCGGUCUGAUGAAUUGGCGGUCAAGGAGUCUCUGGCUCUCAGUGUGCAGUGUGCGGGUUCCGUAUCCAACAUGGCCCAACGCCUAUAUGCCCGAACCCGUCACGUUGAAUCCUUGGUGGCUGAAAUACAGAGUCUCAAGCAAGAGAUUAAAGGGCUCAAGCAUGAGAAUAAGGAAUUGCACAAGCUCGCACACAGCUAUGCCACCAGCAUGAAGAGGAAGAUUGACCAGAUGCAGGACACCGAUGGUCAAAUUUUACUUGAUCAUCGGAGGUUUUGUGGGUUUUGUUCCAACCGCAUCUGCCUUCGUCUUCUGGGCGGCACCGCGUAGUGAAGCUCCAACUGAUCAACCUCUGCCGCCUCCUCCUUCUGUGGCCCCGCCGACUGCUGAAGCCCCGCCUACUACUGAAGCACCACCCGACCAAUGAAUACUAUUAGUUUACAUCAUUGUAAAAUAUUUGUACUUUUUUUUUUUUUUUUUUUUUUUAUUAUUUUUUUUUUUAUUUUUGAAUUUUUUUUUAUUUUAUUUAUUAUUAUUUUUUUAAUUUUUUUUUUAUGUAAUUUUUAUUUUUUUUUUAUUUUUUUUAUCAUUAAUUUUAAAUUUUAUCUUUUUUUUUUUUUUUAUUAUAUUUUUUUUUUUUUUUAAUUUUUUUUUUUUUUUUUUUUUUUUUUAAAUGUAAAUUAAUGUAAAGAGACUUUGGUUAACCUUCCCCCACACUUAAACUAAAUAACACAAACUCACAGAAAUCAACCAAAUAACACAACUAACUAAACAAAACAAAAUGAAAGCAGCAAAGAUAAGGGUGGGAAGAAUGCAAAGCUGAUUGGGUUAGCGAUUCCAAAGUCUCCCUUCGUUGAAUGCUUGGGUUGCCUCCCAAGAAGCGCUUGAUUUAACGUCUUUAGCCGGACGCAUCUUUCCUUUAAAUUUCCCUCAGCUCCAUUUGUGCCUAAAAUCAAAGAAAGAAAAAUAAAUCAAAUAUCAAAAGUAAAAUACACAAACACCAAUAUAAACAUAAACAAAAACAAAAAUAAAAGGAUUAGCAAAGUUACUAAUCCCCGGCAACGGCCAAAAUUUGAUGCGUAAAAUACUUGACACACAAAUUAAACCCUCUUUUUGACAAUUGUAGUAUAGAUGUAAGUAGGGUAUCGUUCUAGGCCGGGGAUUAGGAGGGAUUGCUAAUCUAUUCUAAAUUAACUUAAAAAUAUUAAACAAGACUCAAGGACACAAAAUUAGGCUAAAAACUCUAAUAACUCGAAACACACUUAAAAUGACUCAAAAUAAUGAAAACAAUUAAAUUAAACACUAGGAACUGAAAUGGACGGAAAUUAAAUUAAAAGACUAACAAUAAAGAAAACUAAAUAAAUAAUAUAAUUUAAUAAUGGAUGGGUGUUUGGUUUUGAUGAAAAGUAAAUUAAACUUAAUUAAAUUACAGAAUUGACAAAAACAUGAAAUUAAAGUAAAAUGAUAAAUGACAGACUAGCUAGAGGGUUCUUCUCCACACAUGUUAUACUUGCAUACAAAAUGAUUUCCAGUUGUUCAUUUAAUAAAUUGUAAAUUUCAAUACUCCAGAUUAACCGUGAACAGCACUUUUUUAAUCUUCAAGUUUUCCUUAAGUUAUUGAAUUGGACGGGAAAACGCAUACAACAAUUCAAAACAUUCUUCAAAAGUCCCCUACGUGAAAAGCACAAUAGAGAUACAAUCAAAGAUCAUUAAACUUUGUGAAAACUAUAAGCAUUGACGAGGCAUUCGUAACUAUGAAAAGCAUGAUACUCUUGCCAAGAAUUUACUUAACGUGAUUGUGACUAGCAACCUUUACUACUUGUGAAAAUAAGUUCAUAACGAUUAGGUGAAAUUCACUUAUAUUCUAGCAUCAAAUUCAUGCAUGUAAAUUAAGCGUGCACUCUCAACCAACAUACACAAAUCAGUUUUUAUACGAACGGCUAAGUAAAUUGAAAUCACAACUUAUGAAAUCACAACCGAAGGUAAUCAAUUCAUAUUACAAAUAUAUUCAUGGCUUUGAAUUAACCUCUAGCCAAAAUAAAUUUAGCUACACAUUAUUCUAAAAUAAAACCAACAGUAAAAUAUAAGUAUGGAGAGGAUUAACCGAGAGAGAAUAAUUUGCUGCGUUCUUGCCCUGCAUCCAGCUCACACACGCUGCCAAGCAGCAUCCUCAUCUUUCUGCGCACCUCUGACACAUGCUGCCCAAGGCAGCGCCCAUCCCUUGCGUCAGUCCUCUAGUCUCACGGUUUUGCUCCAGCUGCAAGGGCAGCGUGCUGACUUUGGUUCCUGAUUUUCCCGUGCUCACCUCAAGACCGCCCUUUCCGUCCUUUCUCCCGCUCCACGUGCUCAGUGCUUUCCCUUCUUUGCGCAUGUCCUUUCACUGCUCCAAACUGCCAAAGGCAGCAACCCGUGGUCCUGCACGUACUGACUUCUCUUCCCCCCAGCUGCCAAAUGGCAGCUCUCUCCCCGUGCUCUCUUUGGCUCUCCCCCGCAGCUUCUUGCUGCUCUCUUUGACCUCGCUGCCAAAG